rnacentral:lncRNA from 1 species
GGGACUCCGGUGGGUUUCUAGCAGUCUGUCUAUUGUUUUCGCUUGUACAGUCAUCCCGCAGUUACUAAUGAGAUCGCUUCUCCUCUGUGCAGCCACUGUCGGCGGGUUCAAACCCGACUCCACAUGGCCUUUCUCCAGGCCAGGUGGGACCAGGUGGUGUUCCUCCUAGGCCUACGCAGGAGGGGGCCUCCGAGGUGGGCUAGCGGCCCUCCGCAUGCCUAGCAGAUCGGAUCCGGGUGGGUGUACAGCAGCGCGCCGCAGGUUGGACCGUCCUCGUGGCCUUUGUGGCCAACUGGGAGCUCUUCACACCACGGUGGCGACGGGUCGCA